GACGAACGCUGGCGGCGUGCUUAACACAUGCAAGUCGAACGCUGAAGCUUGGUGCUUGCACUGGGUGGAUGAGUGGCGAACGGGUGAGUAAUACGUGAGUAACCUGCCCUUGACUCUGGGAUAAGCCUGGGAAACUGGGUCUAAUACUGGAUACGACAUGUCACCGCAUGGUGGUGUGUGGAAAGGGUUUUACUGGUUUUGGAUGGGCUCACGGCCUAUCAGCUUGUUGGUGGGGUAAUGGCUCACCAGGGCGACGACGGGUAGCCGGCCUGAGAGGGUGACCGGCCACACUGGGACUGAGACACGGCCCAGACUCCUACGGGAGGCAGCAGUGGGGAAUAUUGCACAAUGGGCGGAAGCCUGAUGCAGCGACGCCGCGUGAGGGAUGACGGCCUUCGGGUUGUAAACCUCUUUCAGCACGGAAGAAGCGAAAGUGACGGUACGUGCAGAAGAAGCGCCGGCUAACUACGUG
rnacentral:rRNA from 1 species